CGGGGCGUGGUGUAACGGUAGCAUACAUGCUUUGGGAGCAUGCAGUUCGGGUUCAAAUCCCGGCGCCCCGACGA
rnacentral:tRNA from 1 species